UUUUAUUUUUUAUUUUGAGACAGGGUCUCACUAUGUUGCUUACAUCCUCGCUAAGUUGCUGAGGCUGGCCUCGAACUUGCGAUCCUCCUGCCUCAGCCCUCCUGAGCGACUGGGAUUACAUUUUGCCUUUUUUAUUUGUCAAGACUUUGGAUUUGACCAGUCAAGGGAAACUCCAUCCACAAACCUGUACAUGUUCCAUUGUUCCAAGAAGGGAUUCUUGCUUUUUCUCUCCGGGUGUGGCAUUUACUUUGAGGAACUAGGCUUUCCUGGCUUUGAUGACAUUUCCAGCUGUGCACAUCCUCUCCCGUUACCUUCCCACGGGCUGACCUGACCUUCACGGUGUCCAAGCCCUUCCUCAUCUGUUUUGGUUUGGGGUUACAAAUGUCUCUUCAGUUCUUUGAAGAUAGAAUUUUGUUCCUGUUUCUUAGUCUCUUUCUUACAUUUGGGUGAUUUCUCAGAGAAAAGGGAAAUUGCCCCCUUCAGACCACAGUUCAAAACCAGAAGGCUUACCCUCAGAGAGUCUUUUGCAUACAAUAUUAUUUUUAGUUUCAAUUCUGCAUCACAUGUAAUCUUUCAAGAGUCAUUUUAAAUCAUGAUGAGGGAACUAAAUCAAAGUUUAAAUUCAACCUUUUCUGGUGCUACCAAUGCAAAUAACUCCAUUGAAGUAACACUCCAGCCCUCCGAUUCUGUCGCUCAUGGCUAAACACGCAUAUUACCUGCAGUGAGAGACAACCACAUCGGGGUACACGUCCCUGCCUGGCAACGGAUAAGCAUCCUUUGACAUAAAUUUAUAAUGCCUCCCCAGAGCAGAAAGGUAAGCAUGGGAAAAAAUGGAGUAUGGCAUUUUGCCCUGCUAUUGGUUCCAAUGUGGUCUGUGCCCACCAAACUCAUGUUCAGGCUUGGUCCCCAGGGUGCUGAUGUUGAGAGGUAGUGCCUUUAAGAAGAUGAAUGCUUUUUUUUCCCAGGAGUGAGUGAGGUCUACUGGAGCACCUUCUUGCUCUCUUGGGACUGGCUACAGUGAAUUUGGCUUCCUCUGCCUGCUCUUUCACUUCCUUUUUUUUGCCAUGUGACCUCCCUCACGUAUUGCUCCAUUUCCACGCAUGCUGCUCACCACUCUUGUCGGAAUUCCCACCAGGUGAGGCCACCCACCAUGUUGUAAUGUAGCUCACACUUUCAGAGGCUCAAAGUCCAAGAUCAUCUCAUCCCGCCUGCUGAGCCUCUAAAAUGGUGAGCUAGGUAAACCUCUUUAUUUCAUAAAAGUGCCUGGCCUAAGGUAUUUUGUUAGAGCAACACAAAAUAAGACAGUUCUUCUAUGGGUUCUGAAAUUUCAGCCUUUGCGAGAGUUGAUGCUGUUUAGCAGAAGGACCUCCCUGGCCUGUUCCGCUACCCAGUCUUCAAGCCAAACCAGAAGAAUCGAACAGCCAAUCGUCCAACUGUGGAGGACCAUAGCAUCCUGUGGCAUGUGACACUUUGUUUUCUGUUUAAUUGAAUGCCAAUUCUUUUAAUUUGGACAUGAAGCCUUCCCCCAGUGUUCUGGCACGCCCAUGGCCUUCCCACUGUCUAGAGAACAUUGCUGAAAUGCAAAGCCCUCCACCCCAAGAAGCCAAAACUCAUUGGAAGGAACUGACCAGUCGAAUUCCUUUCCUUGUGUGAUUUGGUGGCAUCCUCUCCAUCCUCCCUUGCUCCCUGGGACUGGUGGGAGCUGUUUGGCAGGUAUCCCAUAGCUGUGCCAGGGCUCAUUCUCUCUCUACCCGGAACUCUUUUCUUCCCUGAGAAGAAAUCCUGUUUACCUUCCCAAGCCCCACACAGCCUUUCCUGAUUCCUUCUUAUAUGAACUUGCUUUCUACCUUAGGGUCCUAGAAAAAUUCAUUCUAAAUUAGAAGUGAAAUUAAUAACUUAGUAAUAUCAAGAAUAACUCAUUCUGAAUAACGAGAACGGAUACUUUCCCAAACUCAUUGUUAAGAAAAAUAUUUUCAGCCAGGAGCUUCCGACCCGUGGAGGAAAGUUGUUUCCUAAUUUGGAAGACUCCUUCUUGGAUUAGAAACCACUUUCUCACUUUGGAGAAACCACCAGCACAAGUUUGUUUUGUGUUGCAGGAGGGGUCGAGGGCGAAUUUCAAAAACAUUCUGCAGAGCAAAAGAAGCCAGACACAAACGAGUCUAUUUAUAUGAGAUCCUGGAAGAGUCAAAACGAAUCUAUAGUGACAAAAAGCAGAUUGGCCGUGGCCCGGGGCCAGGGUUGGGGAGACGACUGGCUGCAGAGGCUGGGGGACCUUUUGGGGGGAAUGGAAAUGUUCUCUGUCAUGGUUGUGACGGUGGUUACACCGAUGUCUAUUUUUGUCAAAACACAGCAGAUGUAAUUUAUAUGUAAAUUACGCUUCAGUAAAAUCGAUCUAAAAGUGCAAUCUGGGGCCAGGAUCUGAAUGGACAGGAAU
rnacentral:lncRNA from 1 species